GAGGAAUAUUGGUCAAUGGCCGAAAGGCUGAACCAGCAACGCCGCGUGAGGGAUGAAGGUCUAAGGAUUGUAAACCUCUGUUAGGAGGGACGAACAGUUCCGUAACGAACUUACGGGAUUUGACGGUACCUCCAGAGAAAGCCCCGGCUAACUCCGUGCCAGCAGCCGCGGUAAUACGGGGGGGGCAAGCGUUGUCCGGAAUUAUUGGGUGUAAAGGGUGCGUAGGCGGAAUGGUAAGUCAGAAGUGCAAUGCUCAUGCUUAACAUGGGCGCUGCUUUUGAUACUGCUGUUCUUGAGUGCAGAAAAGGGAAGUAGAAUUCUCGGUGUAGCGGUGAAAUGCGUAGAUAUCGAGAAGAAUACCAGUAGCGAAGGCGGCUUCCUGGUCUGUAACUGGCGCUGAGGCACGAAAGUGUGGGUAGCAAAC
rnacentral:rRNA from 1 species